rnacentral:rRNA from 1 species
AACGAACGCUGGCGGCAUGCCUAACACAUGCAAGUCGAACGAGAUCUUCGGGUCUAGUGGCGCACGGGUGCGUAACGCGUGGGAAUCUGCCCUUUGGUUCGGAAUAACAGUUGGAAACGACUGCUAAUACCGGAUGAUGACGAAAGUCCAAAGAUUUAUCGCCAGAGGAUGAGCCCGCGUAGGAUUAGCUAGUUGGUGUGGUAAAGGCGCACCAAGGCGACGAUCCUUAGCUGGUCUGAGAGGAUGAUCAGCCACACUGGGACUGAGACACGGCCCAGACUCCUACGGGAGGCAGCAGUGGGGAAUAUUGGACAAUGGGCGAAAGCCUGAUGCAGCAAUGCCGCGUGAGUGAUGAAGGCCUUAGGGUUGUAAAGCUCUUUUACCCGGGAUGAUAAUGACAGUACCGGGAGAAUAAGCUCCGACUAACUCCGUGCCAGCCGCCGCGGUAA